rnacentral:rRNA from 1 species
CGGACCUCUCGCUAUCAGAUGACGCCCAUGUCAGUAUUAGCUUGGUUGGUGAAGGUAAAGGCUCACAAGGCGACGAUCUGUAACUGGUCUGAGAGGAUGAUCAGUCACACUGGAACUGAGACACGGUCCAGACUCCUACGGGAGGCAGCAGGUGGGGAAUAUUGGACAAUGGGGGCAACCCUGAUCCAGCCAUGCCGCGUGUGUGAAGAAGGCCUUCGGGUUGUAAAGCACUUUCAGUGGGGAGAAAGGUUAUUCACCUAAUACGUGAGUAAAUUGAUGUUACCCACAGAAGAAGCACCGGCUAACUCCGUG